rnacentral:rRNA from 1 species
AUGGAUGAGACGGCCGCGCCGCUGCCGGAGGCGGUGUCGCUCCCGGACGACGCCAUCCGUGAGAUCCUCGUCCGCGUGGAAGGCACGGCCACUCUCUUCCGCUGCGCCGUGACGUGCAAGAACUGGAGCCGCCUCGUAGCCGACGCCUCCUUCCUUCGUCGUCGCUGGCCGGAUGAUCAUGGGGCGAGCCGCUUCCUCGCCGGGUUCUUGGCCCCGAAACGGCUCGACCGUACGGACCCCGACUUCCGGACAGGGAAGCCCAUGUUUGCGACGUUUUUUGUCCCGACGCCACGGUCGGUGUUCGCCCGCCGCUCCCUCAGCUCCUUUUUCCCCAACGCCGACGCGUGCAACCUCGACAGCGCGGAGCCGCUCACUGCGCGCCGCGGCCUCCUUCUCGUGCGCCUCUCCCCGAACGUAGCUGUUGGCUAUAAGUAUGGCAAGUCUGUUGUUCAUCUGGCCGUAUGCAAUCCGCUUGCCGGCGUGUGCGAAGUGCUUCCCCCACUAUGCGGACAUUUGGACUUCCGUGAAAGCAGCUACACCAUCCUAACUAGUGCAGACUACUCGUCGAGCGCAGAGCAACAGUCUUUGCAACCGGGCUACUCGACCUUCUUUAAAGUGCUAAUCAUCGGCCCGAUGAAAUUCGGCCCGCCCAGCCUUUAUAGGUUCUCGUCCAGUGAGUCAAGGUGGAGUAAGCCUAUAAAAUUAACUUUUGACACCGCUGGAGGGAUCCGUGACUGUAAGCAUCCCGAUGCCAUUGUGUGCCGCGGUAAGGUGCAUUGGAGCGUCCGGAAUUGGUAUCCUGACUACUCUGUUGACAUGGACAUGGAGACGUUGCACAUCUCUCAGACAAUGAUCAUGGACAGGACAACUUACUCGGAAACCAACGAAGACCCACAACUUGCGGUCACCGCUGAAGGGACACCCUUGGUGUUACUUUUGUCAAGACCAGGCCUCCAACUAAAGGUCUGCACACGGCAAGAUGGAAGAAAGAGCGAGAAUGGUGCUGUUGUCAAGGCCACGUGGCUCACCACGCGCACUGUCGAGUUGAAACCACCUAGUCCGAUUAAAAGAAGGCCAGAGAAAAUAUACCUGAGAUUGUUAGGAGAGAAGAGUGGAACGAUGCUACUUAAGGAUAGUCAGAGGCAGAUUUAUGUAGCUGACGUUGAGACAGGAGAGAUGGAGGAGUUUGAGUUGCCUAACGGUUUUGAUGGGCUUAACCGUCGGAAGGUCAUGUUGUUCAAGAUGGACUGGUUGGCGUUAUUCGUUUCCCGGCUCCGGAAGUGGUAG